GUGGGGAAUAUUGGACAAUGGGCGCAAGCCUGAUCCAGCAAUGCCGCGUGCAGGAAGAAGGCCUUCGGGUUGUAAAGCUCUUUAGUCCACGAAUAUAAUGACUGUAGUGGAAGAAUAAGCCCCGGCUAACUUCGUGCCAGCAGCCGCGGUAAUACGAAGGGGGCGAGCGUUAUUCGGAAUCACUGGGCGUAAAGCGCGCGUAGGCUGUUUUGUAAGUCAGAAGUGAAAGCCCAGGGCUUAACCCUGGAAUUGCUUUUGAAACUACAAGACUCGAAUUCGGGAGAGGAUAGCGGAAUUGUCAGUGUAGCAGUGAAAUGCGUAGAUAUUGACAGGAACACCAGUGGCGCAAGCGGCUAUCUGGACCGAUAUUGACGCUGAGGCACGAAAGCGUGGGGAGCAAACAGGAUUAGAAACCCGAGUAGUCC
rnacentral:rRNA from 1 species